UGGACAUUUCAAAAAGUGCGAGGGGCGUGGCGUGGUGGCGUAGGGGACAGCGCGACCCACAUUUGGAGGCCUCGAGUCCUCGACGCUGCCGUGGCGGGUUCGACUCCCGGACCCGAUGAUAUUUGCCGCAUGUCUUCCCCCCUUCCUGUCAGCCU